UCGUCAUUUUCUGGUUCUGAAACCGAAAACUCAGUACCGACCAUUCUUUUCAAACUCGUCUCUGUUUAUGUUCUUCUUUUCCUUCGUAAAAAGGAAAAAAAGAACAAAAACUGUUUCUGUAACUCAUUUCCAGUCGAUCAAUCGCAGAUAUGGAGACUGGAGAAAUGAAGAAGACGUUGUUGGAGAAGAGCUACCAUGAGGACUGUCCAGGCUGCAAAAUUGAGCUCAAGAAGCUCCAGCACCGGGGUUUGCCGAUCAAAGAAUUUUUCUCCAUUUGGAUUAUUGUUCUCGCCAAUGAUUCAUUCCCUCUUAACCCUAGAAUUAAUUGAAGGACCUGUAAGGAAAGCAGCGUUCCCGCUCUUUCUGUUUCGCUUCAGAUGACUUUCCCCGGAGUUGAAGAUGCUUUCUUCAAACUUACGCAAUUGAAAUUGGGAUCCACGCCUUUGGUCUUUGACCUACUGCAUGUCCGGCGGGCGAUUUCACUUCCGGCGAGCGUGAGUUCGCGGAGGGACCGGGCGUGGCAACUAUGGAAAAGAAUGAAGUGAAGCUGCGAGAGAACUUCACAGUUCAUAGCUCUAGCUGGUGCGGCGACGGACCGCAUCAGUCGGACCUGUUGUUGAAGAUUAGUAUCUCGAGGUUAUGAUGACAUUUGCUUUGCUCGUAUCGAAAUACUUGAUGGCGAGACGGAGGUGAGUGUACGAGAUUGCCCGCCGCUCCUGUUGAUUCCUUUUUAGGAUUCUUUCCAGAUAAUGUUUUUAUAUAAUUUUUGUUAAUUUCCAUAAUUAAUAGUUUAUGAUAUAAAAGACAAAAUAUUUAUGAUAUAAUAUGAUUUAAAUAAAAUAAAAUAAUUGAAGAAGAACGUUUCCGAUCGCAAGUCGUGCUCCUCUGCUCGUGAGUAGCCUCGCGGCUGGAGUUUGAACGUGACUGUGACUGGUGACUGAUAGUCGAUUGUCGUUGGAGGUGAUCAGUGAUUGUUGAUGAUGGUAAGUUGGUUUAGUGGGUAGUAAAUAUAUUAGCUAGAUUAUAGGGCUAUAAAAGAAAUUAAUCAUCUUGUAAUGGCGAUCAGAAUUGUUCUCCUCUGCUGUUCUGUCUCUUUCAGUUUCUUUCUACUUCUGUUACUCCAGAUACUCACACAUUAUUGGUAUUAGACCAUCGAUCUGGGCAAAAUAGUGAUCUCUGAGAACACGACGACACAAUAUUUAAGAAGGCUGGAUGAGGUGGCGAAAUAAGUAACCUAUGUGAAAAAGAAACUAGAUCAAGAUUUAGGUGAAGUAAAGCUGGUAGAAAAGAAGUGACAGCAAGAAUUGGGUGAAAUCAAGAAAAUUUUUGUUAGUCUCACACACAAUGCUCACUGGUGUAUGGUGGCAGAUUCAGAUAAGAACUCCCUACAUCAAGAGUUGGAAAAUUCUGGAGCCAACUAAAAUGAAGGAAAUAAAAAUUUGGAAGACAAUAUGUAAGAAGCUAGUGUAACUUUGGAAAAUACAGCAGCUCUUAUGGAGGAAGUGGCUGUCACCAGCUUGGAACCCACGAUGAUGAAGCUGGUUAGGAGUCUGCCAGAAGCUGUCGAUACAAAGAGGGUACCCAAAACAUGUGUUGGACCAAACCUUGACGAUGAUGAUCUUAAAAUUGGACGGUUUCUCCUACUAUCAAGAAUUUUCAAGCACAUUUGCAAAAAAAAGUCUGACUGCAAAUUUGGCAAAGACUCAGGAAAUCUGGGAUUGGUGAAAGGUUCAUGCAUACAAUUUAAAUAAACAAUUUUCCAUGAGCAGGACUUGGUUGGAAUACUUUUAUGGAUGUCUAGUUACAUAACAAAGCUCCAACAAAUUGUCUAGCCCGCUAUACAGAUCCAGGUCUUGAGGAGCGUAACAAACAGAAAGAAAGAAAGACGAAAAAGGUAGAUGUUUAACUAGGAGAAAGCUUCUCUUUCGAUUGAUAAGACCCUUAAGAUUCAUUGUCCACCUUGAGGACAAGGUGACUUUUAGGGGGAAAUACUGAUAUGUGGGAAA